AUAGAAAUUCAUCCCAGACAGGAAGAAGCAGUCGAUUAUAUAUAAAGGAUGGUAUUCCACAGUGUUACUAUCACUUGUUGAUGCAAGAUAUCGUUUUUUAUACAUCAACGUGGGAAGUCCAGGAAGAUGUAAUGAUUCCCAAAUCUUUGAAAAGUCCAGCUUAAAAAGGGAACUGGAGAACUGCUCACUUCUGAACACAAUGAGCACAAAUUUAGGAAUUUUUGACAUCCCAGUUGUCAUUCUUGGAGAUUCUGCCUUUCGUUUUUCCAAAUAUUUAAUGAAGCCUUUUCCAUUCAGUUUGGAUAAGGCGCCUGCACAAAAAGCUUUCAAUUACCAACUUUCAAAAUCUCGUAUAGUGGUUGAAAAUGCUUUUGGGCAAUUGAAAGCAAGGUUUCGCCGGAUCGGAAAAGGAAUUGAUAACAGAAUUGAUAAUGCAAAUUCUAUUAUAAAGGCUUGUUGUGCCUAGCACAACUUUUUAAUAGCAGAAAAUGACCUAGUUAUACCUUCUUGGCUUAACGAGCAGCACGCUAAUGAUAUUAGGAGAAGACAACCACAAUCCGUGGACUCGCACCAAACCUUAGCAGAAGCGGAAUCAAUAAGGAAUGCGUUCUGUUCAUAUUACAAUCUGGUAGAUGUUGCUGCGCUUGAUAUUGAUGGGGGAAGUGUUGCCCCUCCCGAUCCUGACGGCAGUGGUGAUGAACACGACGGUGAUGGCGACAGCUGGGGAAGAGAAGGAAAAAGCG